rnacentral:rRNA from 1 species
AUUGAACGCUGGCGGCAUGCUUUACACAUGCAAGUCGAACGGUAACAGGUUAAGCUGACGAGUGGCGAACGGGUGAGUAAUGCAUCGGAACGUGCCCGGUCGUGGGGGAUAACGCAGCGAAAGCUGCGCUAAUACCGCAUACGAUCUGAGGAUGAAAGCGGGGGACCGUAAGGCCUCGCGCGAUCGGAGCGGCCGAUGUCAGAUUAGGUAGUUGGUGGGGUAAAGGCUCACCAAGCCAACGAUCUGUAGCUGGUCUGAGAGGACGACCAGCCAAACGAGGACUGAGACACGGCCCAGACUCCUACGGGAGGCAGCAGUGGGGAAUUUUGGACAAUGGGCGAAAGCCUGAUCCAGCAAUGCCGCGUGCAGGAAGAAGGCCUUCGGGUUGUAAACUGCUUUUGUACGGAGCGAAAAGGUCUCCUCUAAUACAGGGGGCUCAUGACGGUACCGUAAGAAUAAGCACCGGCUAACUACGUGCCAGCCGCCGCAGUAA